rnacentral:rRNA from 1 species
UACGGAGGGUGCAAGCGUUAUCCGGAUUUACUGGGUUUAAAGGGUGCGUAGGCGGACUUUUAAGUCAGGGGUGAAAUCCCGGGGACUCAACCCCGGAACUGCCUUUGAUACUAUUGGUCUUGAAUGUUGUGGAGGUGGGCGGAACGGGUCAUGUAGCGGUGAAAUGCAUAGAUAUGACCCGGAACACCGAUUGCGAAGGCAGCCCGCUACGCAACGAUUGACGCUGAGGCACGAAAGCGUGGGGAUCAAACAGGG